rnacentral:rRNA from 1 species
CUUGGUCAUUUAGAGGAAGUAAAAGUCGUAACAAGGUUUCCGUAGGUGAACCUGCGGAAGGAUCAUUAAAGUUUGCUUAAUUGCAUUACACAUGUUUUUUUAGAGAACUUGCUUGCAAGAACACUAAUAAUUUACUUAGUCAACAAAUAAAAAUAUCAAAACUUUCAACAACGGAUCUCUUGGUUCUCGCAUCGAUGAAGAACGCAGCGAAAUGCGAUACGUAAUAUGAAUUGCAGAUUUUCGUGAAUCAUCGAAUCUUUGAACGCACAUUGCGCCCUGUGGUAUUCCACAGGGCAUGCCUGUUUGAGCGUCAUUUCUCCCUCAAACCUCUGGUUUGGCGUUGAGUGAUACUCGGUUUACUUGAAAAACAUGAAAAGCAUAACUAUUAGGUUUUACCAACUCGUUAUACUAAUCUACAAGUUUGACCUCAAAUCAGGUAGGACUACCCGCUGAACUUAAGCAUAUCAAUAAGCGGAGGA